GCCGAUGUGGCAUAGUGGUUUGAGUGUUGGACUAUAACUCUGAAGAGCAGGGUUCAAGUCCUGGCUCAGUCA